AUCGCUCUUUGAAAAAUUCAUAUAAAGAGUCGGACCUGCCCGGUGAAAGAUUUAAACGGCCGCAGUACCCUGACUGUGCAAAGGUAGCAUAAUCACUUGCCCUAUAAUUGGGGGCUAGUAUGAAUGGUUUGACAAGAGCAAAACUGUCUCUAUAAAAUUUAUUAGAAUUUGGUGUUUAGGUGAAGAAACCUAAAUGAAAUUGAAAGACAAGAAGACCCUAUCGAGCUUUAAAAUAGCUUUUUAAAAAAUAUUUGGUUCUAAAAAUUAUUUUUGGAAAAUUUUUUUUGGUUGGGGCGACUGAGGAACAAUAAAAGCUUCCUUUUUAAAAGUAGACUGGUAAGUUUUGAUCCAAUAAAUUGAUUACAAAAAAUAGUUACCGUAGGGAUAACAGCAUAAUCUUUUUCAAGAGUUCUUAUCGAAAAAAAGGCUUGUGACCUCGAUGUUGGAUUAGGGUAUCCUAAAGGUGCAGAAGCUUUAAGGGU
rnacentral:rRNA from 1 species